AUUGAACGCUGGCGGCAGGCCUAACACAUGCAAGUCGAGCGGAGCGGACGACGGGUGAGUAAUGCCUAGGAAUCUGCCUGGUAGUGGGGGAUAACGUCCGGCAACGGGCGCUAAUACCGCAUAGUAUCAGAUGAGCCGAGGGCGGAUUAGUUAGUUGGUGGGUAAAAGGCCUACCAAGGAGACGAUACGUCACUGGUCUGAGAGGAUGAUCAGUCACACGGGAACUGAGACACGGGCCAGACUCCUACGGGAGGCAGCAUUGGGGAAUAUUGGACAAUGGGCGAAAGCCUGAUCCAGCCAUGCCGCGGGUGUGAAGAAGGUCUUCGGAUUGUAAAGCACGUUAAGUUGGGAGGCGUUACCAACAGAAUAAGCACCGGCUAACUUCGUGCCAGCAGCCGCGGUAAUUC
rnacentral:rRNA from 1 species